rnacentral:rRNA from 1 species
CAAAUAUGAAGGCGGGCUGGAACCUCUCGGGGUUACAGCCUUGCUGAAUUAUUCACCCUUGUCUUUUGCGUACUUCUUGUUUCCUUGGUGGGUUCGCCCACCACUAGGACAAACAUAAACCUUUUGUAAUUGCAAUCAGCGUCAGUAACAAAUUAAUAAUUACAACUUUCAACAACGGAUCUCUUGGUUCUGGCAUCGAUGAAGAACGCAGCGAAAUGCGAUAAGUAGUGUGAAUUGCAGAAUUCAGUGAAUCAUCGAAUCUUUGAACGCACAUUGCGCCCUUUGGUAUUCCAAAGGGCAUGCCUGUUCGAGCGUCAUUUGUACCCUCAAGCUUUGCUUGGUGUUGGGCGUCUUGUCUCUAGCUUUGCUGGAGACUCGCCUUAAAGUAAUUGGCAGCCGGCCUACUGGUUUCGGAGCGCAGCACAAGUCGCACUCUCUAUCAGCAAAGGUCUAGCAUCCAUUAAGCCUUUUUUUCAACUUUUGACCUCGGAUCAGGUAGGGAUACCCGCUGAACUUAAGCAUAUCAAUAAGCGGAGGAAAAGAAACCAACAGGGAUUGCCCUAGUAACGGCGAGUGAAGCGGCAACAGCUCAAAUUUGAAAUCUGGCUCUUUUAGAGUCCGAGUUGUAAUUUGCAGAGGGCGCUUUGGCUUUGGCAGCGGUCCAAGUUCCUUGGAACAGGACGUCACAGAGGGUGAGAAUCCCGUACGUGGUCGCUGGCUAUUGCCGUGUAAAGCCCCUUCGACGAGUCGAGUUGUUUGGGAAUGCAGCUCUAAAUGGGAGGUACAUUUCUUCUAAAGCUAAAUAUUGGCCAGAGACCGAUAGCGCACAAGUAGAGUGAUCGAAAGAUGAAAAGCACUUUGGAAAGAGAGUCAAACAGCACGUGAAAUUGUUGAAAGGGAAGCGCUUGCAGCCAGACUUGCUUACAGUUGCUCAUCCGGGUUUCUACCCGGUGCACUCUUCUGUAGGCAGGCCAGCAUCAGUUUGGGCGGUAGGAUAAAGGUCUCUGUCACGUACCUCCUUU